UAAAAGGUCAAGUUGACCAUGAGACAUUGGUCAACCCUCAUCCCAAAAAUCAGAAGUUAAAAAUAAUUCUAAGUCAUAAAAAUAAAAUAAAUGAAAAAAUGUACGCUUAAAAGAACCACUUGAAAUAAAUAAUUAGAAUAAAAUAUUAACAUUAAAUAAAAUAUGAAAAUAAAAAUUAAAUAAAUUAAAUAAAACAUUAAGGAAAGUAAAAAAUAUUUUUUGGUAUUUUUAUGAACAAAUAAAAUAUUUUUAUUAAUUAAAAAGAAAAACAGAAAAAAUAAAAU
rnacentral:lncRNA from 1 species